rnacentral:rRNA from 1 species
UACCAGACUCCUACGGGAGGCAGCAGUGGGGAAUAUUGCACAAUGGGCGCAAGCCUGAUGCAGCGACGCCGCGUGAGUGAAGAAGUAUUUCGGUAUGUAAAGCUCUAUCAGCAGGGAAGAAAAUGACGGUACCUGAAGAAGAAGCCCCGGCUAACUACGUGCCAGCAGCCGCGGUAAUACGUAGGGGGCAAGCGUUAUCCGGAUUUACUGGGUGUAAAGGGGGCGCAGACGGCGAUGCAAGCCAGGAGUGAAAGCCCGGGGCCCAACCCCGGGACUGCUCUUGGAACUGCGUGGCUGGAGUGCAGGAGGGGCAGGCGGAAUUCCUGGUGUAGCGGUGAAAUGCGUAGAUAUUAGGAGGAACACCAGUGGCGAAGGCGGCUUACUGGACAGUAACUGACGUUGAGGCUCGAAAGCGUGGGGAGCAAACAGGAUUAGAUACCCGAGUA